ACAGCCAUAUCAUGUUGAAACACCAGUUCCCGUAUAAUCACUGAAGUUAAGCAGCAUCUAGCCUGGUCAGUAUCUGAAUGGAUGACUGCUUUGGAAUACCAGGGGCAGUAA